rnacentral:rRNA from 1 species
AUUGGACGCUGGCGGCAUGCCUUACACAUGCAAGUCGAACGGCAGCACGGGUGCUUGCACCUGGUGGCGAGUGGCGAACGGGUGAGUAAUACAUCGGAACGUACCUUAUCGUGGGGGAUAACGCAGCGAAAGCUGUGCUAAUACCGCAUACGCCCUGAGGGGGAAAGCGGGGGAUCGAAAGACCUCGCGCGAUUAGAGCGGCCGAUGCCUGAUUAGCUUGUUGGUGGGGUAAAAGCCCACCAAGGCGACGAUCAGUAGCUGGUCUGAGAGGACGAUCAGCCACACUGGGACUGAGACACGGCCCAGACUCCUACGGGAGGCAGCAGUGGGGAAUUUUGGACAAUGGGGGAAACCCUGAUCCAGCAAUGCCGCGUGAGUGAAGAAGGCCUUCGGGUUGUAAAGCUCUUUUGUCAGGGAAGAAACACCGGCUCUAACACAGUCCGGGAAUGACGGUACCUGAAGAAUAAGCACCGGCUAACUACGUGCCAGCAGCCGCGGUAA